UACGGGGGGGCAAGCGUUGUUCGGAAUUACUGGGCGUAAAGGGCUCGUAGGCGGCCAACUAAGUCAGACGUGAAAUCCCUCGGCUUAACCGGGGAACUGCGUCUGAUACUGGAUGGCUUGAGAUUGGGAGAGGGAUGCGGGAAUUCCAGGUGUAGCGGUGAAAUGACGUAGAUAUCUGGAGGAACACCGGUGGCGAAGGCGGCAUCCUGGACCAACACUGACGCUGAGUGAGCGAAAGCCAGGGGGGCAAACGGG
rnacentral:rRNA from 1 species